CCUACGGGAGGCAGCAGUAAGGAAUAUUGGACAAUGGGCGCAAGCCUGAUCCAGCCAUGCCGCGUGCAGGAUGAAAGUGCUAUGCACUGUAAACUGCUUUUGUUUGGGAAAAAACCCCUGGUUUCUACCGGGGCUGAUUGUACCAAAAGAAUAAGGGACGGCUAACUUCGUGCCAGCAGCCGCGGUAAUACGAAGGUCCCAAGCGUUAUCCGGAUUUAUUGGGUUUAAAGGGUGCGUAGGCGGACUAUUAAGUCAGUGGUGAAAGCCCCAAGCUUAACUUGGGAACUGCCAUUGAUACUGAUGGUCUUGAGUACAUUUGAGGUGGGCGGAAUGUGUCAUGUAGCGGUGAAAUGCUUAGAUAUGACACAGAACACCGAUUGCGAAGGCAGCUCACUAAACUGUAACUGACGCUGAGGCACGAAAGCGUGGGGAGCAAACAGGAUUAGAUACCCUGGUAGUCCACGCCCUAAACGAUGAUCACUCGAUGUGUGCGAUAUACUGUACGCGUCUGNGNGAGANAUAGUAGANCUAACGUGGAGUUAGACGCGAGUUAGUAAGAGAGAGUAGAGACGNGAGAGAGCGACGACGACGACGAGGAGGAGGAGG
rnacentral:rRNA from 1 species